GUCGCCGAGGCAACGGAAGGCCCGAGGCCUAGUUGCGGGGAUCGCGGCGGCCUCGGCGGGUUGUCGCUUGCCUUACUCAGGGUUGCCGCAAAGGACUGACGCAUACUGCUGAGGGCGCGGAAGAGUCGUGAGAAUUUACGAGGAUAAUGAUGGAACUGAGAUCAAGUUGUACUGACUGCAGGCCUGGAGCUCCUUUCUCCCGGAAAAGGGACGGUUGCGGGGCACUUGAUGGAAUUGUUUCAAACUGUGGAAGAACUUGAUGGUAGAGGAUGGAGAGAAAAAUGUUUCCACUUUUGGAGGGGACCAAGGCUUUAAUGCAUAACGUUUAUAAAGUACCCGUAAGCCCAAGAGGGAGUUGAGAAGAAUAAACUGCUACUCCGAGAGUAGCUGCGGUAUUUUGUACGGAUGCAUUUAAAGGGAAACAGAACAAGUACAUGUGGGAUAAAGGAAUAGAGGGAACUGUACCCCUAACAUGACGAAAUGCAGCAAGCACGUCACCAUAGUUUGGCUGAAUGAAAUGUUUUUAUGUUAGAACUUUGAUGUAAUUUUAUACAACAAUUGACAUUUCAUAGGUUCUUCCCGAUGCAACGAGUGCCAAUUUCUGCACAGCAAGAUCCAUACGUGGUUGUAGUUUGCUGCUGACACUGUCUGAUAUGUCCUCUUUAUCUCUCCUAAUUCAGCUUCAGUUUAUCUAUACAGGAUAUCCAAUUAUGUACCAGGUCUGUUCAGGCUGAAGAAACAAGACUGAAGUGCUCCAAGUCCUCAACAGAGUUCCAGUUCUGUACAAUGAUUCCAUACAGAGGAGCAUCUUCACCAGUGAAAGAAUAGACUCAUGCCUGUAAAGAGUUAGAUCAUCAGCAUUAGGCAGACCGAACUUACCGCUCAGGAUGUAACAGCAUUGAAUUCUUGAUCAAAGAGAUUGUUGAUGGCUCACAUUUUUAGGCUCCAUAAACACCACCAAUCACUUGUUGCUGAAAUCGGCAAGUGCAUUGCGAGAGCUGCAGGUUUUGUAUCUCUAUAUACUAAGAAUGUGCAACAGCACCCUAAGCGAGAACAGCAAAUUGAAAGUCUACCAGUCCUUUGUUUUCAGCGUACUGCUUCACAGUAAUGAAACUUGGACAGUGUGAGUUGGAGUGAAAGCUUCUGGUAUCUCACAUGUCAUUAGCAUGUCUUGGAGGAUAGUUAACAAUGCAGAAGUCCUGGAGCAUGUGAUUUCCACAGGAUACAUUCAUUAAGCCAACAACAUUGUGAUGUUUCAACCACGAUCGUUGGAUGAUCCUUCUGUAUGGUGAAGUGGCAACUGAUUCAUGAUCUGUUGGAUGACCUUAACUCUACUACAAGGAUUUUUUCAAGCAAAAUAUGAAGAUGUCAUACAUUGAUGCAGGCAACAGGGAGUUAGUAGUUGACGACCAUGAUCCCUGGCCAGAGAAUCAUUGGAAGAGAUAAGUAGUAAAGGACAGCUUAGCUGGCCAAAUGAAACAACCCAGAAAGCCCUGCACCUUUUCAGCUCAAUGUCUUCCUCCUCAGCAAAUGCCAUGCCAGAACGGAGCGCCUAAAUCACACAGCUGAUGUUUAAUACGGAACUUGUGUGUGGAGCCUGAGGAGAUGCUGCCAGACCUGCUGAGCUCUUCCAGUGAUUUUUGUUUUUGUUCCUGGUUUUACAUUCCUCAUAUUUCUUAGAAGGUGAUGGUAAGCUGCCUCCUUGAACUGCCACAGUCUAUAUGCUGUACUGUAAGACCUGCUGCGCAUUUUCAUCACUUUCUGUUGUACUACUGAAUUCAAAUAUUCACAUUUUGUUCUUGUCUUGUGUGGAACAGAGACAUCAGUAGAAUGUAUAAUGGUGAUGAUGUAUAAUCAUAGAAUCCCUACAGUUGGAAAAAGGCUGUUCAGCCCAUCAAGUAUGCACUGUCCCUCCAAAAAUCACCUAGACCAUCACCCUGUCCUCAUAACCCCACUUUUACCAUGGCUAACCCACCUAGCCUGCACACCAUGUGACAACUUAGCAUGGUGAAUCCACUUUUGCACUGUGGGAGGAAACCAGAGCACCCAGAGGGAAACCACGCAGACUCAAGAAGAACAUGCAAAUUCCACACAGACAGUCGCCUGAGGCUGGAAUCGAACACAGGUCCCUGGCGCUGUGAGGCGGCAGUGCUAAGCAUGCUACUCAAUGAUGUUGAUGUCACAUGAUUAUAUAAAGUGAAGGAAGCAAAACUGUAUAAGUGAAUGUGCACAUCUAUAACACUGUGAAAAGAUUCAAUGAAAACACCUCAGACUCAAAAAGCAGUACUUGGGAGCUUAACAGUCAGACUCAUUCAGUAAAAUAUCUGAGAGUCAAAUAAUUAUCUGAACAUUUUAUCCACCCAAUGAAUUUGUCACAAAUGAUGUGUGCAACAGUUUCUGCAAACUGCUCACAAAACUACUUAUAGUGGAGCUAGACGUCAUGUCACUAUGGUAACCCAGCUAGUACACGAAGUAAAAUGGCAUUUCUUUAUAACAAACAAAAAGGUUGCAUGCAUUAUAAUUUGUAGUUAAAGGUUACUCAAGUUACCCAGUAUAAAUGAUUAACAAAUGUGAAGUGAUCAUUCAUUGAUAAAACUGUGUGUAAAUGCUAGUCAGUUCCACUUCCAUUAGUCUGCACACGCAUUGCAUAUGUGAUCUUUAGAAUGUGCGGAUAUCUUAAUGAUUCAUGUCCACUUUGUCUUUAGCUGUUUGUCUUGUAUCCGCUUGCUAGGUAUCCGCUAGGGUGAUGCUCCUUCUCUGGAAAAUGCUGCUUGUGUGGUGGCUGCUAUUAUUUUAGUAAUUGUUGUUGCUGUUCCAUUUCUAUUGUGAGAGAAUGGUUGUCUGUAAAUGUGCGUCAUUGUGUUAACAUAUUUGGUGUUUCAUGUUUACUGUGUAUCAUCAAGGUGACAUCUGCUUCACGCAGGUCCCUGGUUGCCACACAGGCUGUGUUGAACAUUUUCACUCUUACUGGCUGUCUAAUACUCAACUCUGUGGAUGACUUUGCAGUUUUAUCACAGUGCAAUUUGAUCUUCUGUCAUUUCACCUCAAUUUUGCAGCUUCUAUGGAGAAGCCAUUGUUCUAUCAUAAGGGGUAACAGUUUUAAAACAGAGAUAAGGAGAAAUUCCUCCUCUCAAUGGGUUAUGAGUCGGUAGAAUUCACUACCCCAGAGUGCAGUGGAUGCGGGGACAUUGAAUAAAUUUUAAGGAGGAGAUAGAUAGAUCUUUAAUUAGUAAUGGAUAGAAGGGUUAUAUAGUGUAUGUAGGAGAGUGGAUUUGAGACCGAUAUGAUCAUAGGAAACGCUGAAGCAGAUUUGAGGGGCUGAAUGGCCUAGUCUUGCUCCUGUUCUUAUGCCCGUUACUAUAUCUGGUCUCAGUAGUUUCUAGCUCUUGAAAGAGUAGUUUGGGUGCAGUGUCACAUUAGCCUUUGAACGGGAUUGUUUUCCGUGCUUUCAAUAAAUGUAUUUUGUCAUCAAGGACUACCUUGCAGAAGCCUGUGCUGGGUUCCCUCAAUUUCUUUAUAAUCCCUUUGGUGGUUUUAAUUGCUUCUUCAGUCUUUCCAUUUGACCUGGGAUUGUGUGGAAAUUAUGGAAAAGAUGUAAAGUUCCCAAUCAUUUCAUUCAGUAGCUAAAUUUAUCCCUGUGAAUUGAGGGACAUUGUAACUCAUCACAAUGUUUAGAUUGCCUUAACAACUAAAGUGUGCUUUUAGGCAUUCUACAAUCUUAGUAGUCACUGGCAUAUUGUCGUCCAGUUCCCAGUCAUUGGAAUAGUUGUUGAUGGGGAGAGAAGAUAAUCAGUUUGUGCAAUUGAAGAGGUCUACAUCAAGCUUCAUUCCUGCUGUAUCUGGGAUAGUUUGUAUUAUAAGUGGUUGCUUAACUUGUUUAACAUGGUAUUAAUUUCAAGCACUGCACUGGCAGCAUAAACAAUGUAUCCUCCAAUUUUUUUUUUCUGGCUGCGUGGGCCUCUGAAGUCUGUCUGUGGCAGUGACUCCUGGAACCAGAGUUCAACGCCACGAAUGGUGUGCUGACACCAAUAACAAUGCACAGAACCUUGGGAGAUUAGAAGGAACAUUGAGUGUAGGUAUUUAGAUGUUCAUAGAAACAUAGAAGAUAGGAACAGGAGGAGGCCAUUCAGCCCUUCAAACCUGCUCUGCCAUUCUUCAUGAUGAUGGCUGAGCAUCCAACUCAAUAGCCUAAUCCUGCGUUCUCCCCAUAACCUUUGAUCCAUUUGCCCCAGGUGCUAUAUCUUGUUACCUAUUGAAUACAUUUAAUGUUCUGGCAUCAGCUACUUCUUUAGUAAUGAAUUCCACAGACUCACCACUCUGGGCGAAGAAAUGUCUCCUCACCUUCGUCCUAAAUCAUCAACUCCGAAUCCUCGUUCAGUGAUCCCUGGCUCUGGUGUGACUGGAUUAAUACUUCAUGAAGCUUGCACUACUAAUCAAGAGGAUUUGAGUUCAACUGACUAUGUCAGUUAGAGGGUUUGAAUUCAAUUCCUGAAAAAUGUGGAGCUUAAAAGUUUGUAUCAGUCAGAGCAACCAUGAAGAUGUCAGAUUGCUGUAAAAACCUGACUGACUCACUGAUGUGUUUUACAGAAGCAAGCCUCCUUAGCCUUACUGGGUCUGGUCAAUGCAUGACACCAGCCCCACACCAACAUUGGUUAACUUUUAUUGAGCCUCUAAAGGGACCUAUAAAGCUACUCAUUUUUAUCAAAAUAAUGACUGAUCCAGGAUGAAGCUUCACCAUCAUCAAAUCAUUUCUCUUAAGCUAGGUACUUCAGAAUUGGUCAUGGUGAGGGCAAGAGGAGGUCGCUAUGUGUGAGCCAGAUGAGGGGAUCUAGAAGGUAGAACUGGAAGAGCCUUAGACCUCACAACUUGCCAACAGGUUUGAAGUUUUGCAGUUUGUCGAGACGAGAGCAGAGACUGCAGAGGGCAAAUUCACCAUCACACCAUGGUACAGGGAACCAUUUAAUGGGGGGUAAUAAAGUAGAAUGCAGUUGCAGCAGGGGAUAAUACAUUAGAGAGAUAGACUCUAACCAAGCAGAAGGGAUCUGAUAGGAAGUGUCUUUAUCACCACCAGCUAAGACGAUGCUUGUUUUUAAGCUUUGGCAAUCAGGCAUUUUGCCAAAUGACUUUGACAGUCUGCUUAGGGACCAUCCAACAAGACCCGCCAUCUCCUGUUCAUACAGGGCCUUGAGGACGAUGUGUGUAUAUAUUACUAUCUGAUGAACUUGUAGUCAAAGGUGCUUUUUUAACACUUGGGGCUCUCUGAGAGACAGAUGUAGCAUGGUCCAGUUGGUGCAGCUACACAGGUAGCUAUCAGAACGGGGGAAACAUUGGGCAUAAUUAUUUCUCUUUUGUCUAGAGAUUUGUACCUUAUGUAUGUCAAGAUACAGCCCAUUUAGGAAUUCCAGUGUGGAAGAUGAUUCAGAUGACCAUUAUGACAUACACCAAGAGUGUCUAGUACCUGAUUACUGGGAUCUUACCUUCACAGGGGAGAGAGUAUCUCUUGGUUUCAUUUUCACCAUGAUAGCUUUCAGUUUAUGCAAACCCUGUAGUCUCUGAAUCAUAUCCCCAACCAGGUAUUCUGAUGUAACAGUGAAGAAUUGGUUGGCUGAAUUCCACCCCAAAAAUUUUGGAUUUAUUAAUGAUUACCUUGUGGCCUUUAGAUUUGGAGUCUCUGCAACUAGAAACACUUCAUUAUCUUUCCUCUAUCAAAGACUUUGAUAAUUUUAAAGUCCUCUACCUUGUCGCUUCCCAGAUGUCUCUUUUUGAGAAAAAAAGUUGAAAUAACUCCACAGAGGCCGACACCAAGAUAUCCUUUAUUUACACAUAGAGCGUCUUUGAUACAGAUCCGGCUCCCUCAGAGCCAGCUCUCAGAGUGAACAGAACCUCUGACAUUCCUUAUAUGUCAGCCAAGGCUCACUGAUUGGACUAGAUUAACAGCUCCAAUCACGGAACUGACAUUCUUUGAGGUCCACCUGGCCAACCUCAUAACAAUCAUUACAAGAGUCUUGGCCUUUACUGACGUGUACAACCUUUCAAUUCUGGUACCACCUUGGCAAUCCUUUUGUACUUUCUCCAGUGCCCAUGUAUCCUUUUCUGUGGUACAGAAUCCAGGAUUGUGCACAAGUGAUCUGUAGCCUACUCAAGGUUCUAUGCAGGUUUAAAGUAAUUUCUUGCUCUUGAGUUUUCUUCUUCUAGAAGUAAUGGAUCUAGGAACUGAUUGCUGAGCUUUAGAUCAUUAGGAACAACAAAACUUUGUAGUGAUAUUCCAGUUAGUUAUUUUUCUAUAAAAUUUCAAUUCUUAUAUUUUACAAGUCUAAUUUGGGAUGUAAAAACUUAAAACAAAUAAUUAACUAGCAAGUAAAAUUAGAACAACAUAAUGUUGCAGCUUAUCAGGUUGGUAAUUAGAUUUUAUAGGAAAGACCCAUUGCUAUGGCAACAUGUGGAGCUGCACUUUACCUGGUAAUAGGGUCACUGGCUACUAUUGCCUCCUAAUGCUAAUGUUAAAACUGCACGCAGCUUUAAAAAGCUGUGAUCAUGGAAUGAAAUUGAGCACAUUCUGUACCUAUCAGAAAUCCUAAUCUGAGUUAAUGAAACAAUAUUCAACUUCCUAAAUAAUUACACACUGAGACAUAUUGCUAACAUUGCUAAUUUUGCAAAUUGCUAACUGAUUAUGGUCUUAGAAUUCUUAAAGCAGCAAAAGAACCUACACGUACCUGGCAAUAUAAAUUACAGUGUUGGAAUUUUAUGGCCUCUGUUUUGUGAGCUUGUUUUAUUACCCGCAGUGAUGUUGCUAACUUCCCAGUGUCUGCAAACUGCAGGGUUGUGAUAUGGAUUUAAGUUCAGAUUAUCAACCUUCCGUAAAGCAUCAAAGCUCUUCCAGUAAUUGAUGGAAAAUUGUUUCACAUAGCUUGGGGCUACUGCUUAUGUUUAGAUGUAUAGAAAGGGAGACAGCAAGUUGGGCCUUUAGGCCUAGAGAUAUGGAUGUUACUUACCACAUGAUCUCAGACUUGUAACUUCUACAAUAUCAGUGUUCAAAACCGGUUAAGUGUAGUCAUUAUCAUAAUUUAGGAAAUAGAACAUAGAACAGUGCAACACAGUACAGGCCCUUCGGCCCACAAUGUUGUACCAAACUUUUACCCGAAACCUAAAGUCUAUCUGACAUCCACUGCUACCUUACACUAUCAUCCAUAUGCCUAUCUAAUAGCCACUUAAAUGCCCCUAAUGAGGUCAACUCCGUUCCCCUCUCCGGCAGUGCACUACCACUCUCUGAAUAAAGAACCUGCCUCUGACAUCUCCCCGAUAUCUACCUUCACUCACUUUAAAACUAUGUCGCCUUGUAAAAACUACCUCCACCCUAGGAAAAAGUCUCUGGCUGUCUACUCUAUCUAUACCUCUGAUCAUUUUGUACAUCUCUAUCAAGUCACCUCUCAUCCUUCAUCAUCAUAAAGAGAAAAGCCCCAGCUCUCUUAACCUUUCAUCGUAAAACCUCCCCUCCAUUCCAGGCAAUAUCUAAGUUUUCCAACACUUCCACAUCUUUCCUGUAAUGAGGUGACCGGAAUUGGACACAUUACUCCAGAUGUGGCCAAACCAGGCUUUUGUAUAGCUGGAGCAUAACUUCAUGACUAUUGGGCUCAAUCCCUCUAUUAAUGAAAGCUAACACACCAUAUGCCUUCUUAACAACUCUAUCCACCUGGGUGGCAGCUGUCAGGGAACUGUGACCAUGAGCCCCAGGAUCCCUCUGCUCCUCCACACUGCCAAGAAUCUUUCCGUUAGCCCUGUACUCUGUUUUUAAGUUUGCCCUUCCAAAAUGAAUCACCUCAUACUUUUCAGGGUUAAACUCUAUCUGCCACUUCUCAGCACAGCUCUGCGUUCUAUCAAUGUCCUUUUGUAACCUAGAACAGCCCUCCGCACUGUCCACAAUGUGACCCACCUUCGUGUCGUCCGUGAACUUGCUAAUCCACCCUUCCACUCCUUCAUCCAAAUCAUUUGCAAAAAUCACAAGUAGAAGAGGACCCAGAACAGCGCCUUUGGUACACCACUCGUAAGCCAGCACCACGUUGAAUAUUUUCUGUCCAUACCACCCCUUGUCUUCUAAGGGUCAGCCAAUUCUGAAUCCAAAAUGUAGCAGCCAAUUUGUGCUCAGAAAGACCACACACUAAAAUGUGACAAUGGCCAAAUAAUACUUUUAACCAUGAUGGUUAAGAGAUAGAUAUUGAUCAGGACACCUCUGAAAACGCCUCUGCUCCUGAAUAGUGCCAUGAUAUCUUUUACAGCCACCUGAAGGUCUACUGGAACUUCAGUUUGGUUUCUUAUUCAAGAGAUGACAACACAGACAGUAUGGCACAUUAAUACAUUGGGAGUGGUCAACCUAGAUAAUGUGCCAGUGUUUCUAGAAUGGAACAUGAACAAUGCCUGACAAUUUAGUGUCAUUUUACUAUGACCAAACCCUGGUGCAAUGCAUCUCUGCUAAUUUGAUGUGUUGGAAUAUGAGUUAAUUGCCAAUACAGUUAUUUGAUAGCAGCUGAUGUUUUAAGAUCUACACAAACUAAUUUAUCUUGCAUUUUUAUCACACCAAAAACAUCAUCAGAACAACUGAGCUCAAUGAUGUCCAUACUUAAAUCUAGCUCUGAUUUGUUUGAACUAGCCUUUUGAGAACUUGAGAUACAAUGGAAUUUAAGUAGAGAGAUAUGGCACAAGAAUGAUACCUGGACUUCAGAGGCUAAGAGGAGAGAUUAUACAAAUUAGGCCUGUUUUCUCCUAGAAUUUAGAAUUUAGAAGGUUAAGAGGUGGUCUGAUCGAAGUCUUCGAGACAUUAGCACAAAAAUGAUAGGGUAGAUAAAGACAAACUAUUUCCAAUGUUUGGCAAUUCUAGAAUUUGGAGACAAAUUUAAAUCUGAGAUAAAUAGUUUUUUGGUUGAGCAAAAGUAUUAUGAGGUACGGGCUAAAGGCAGAUUAUAUGGAGCUAGGCCAUGGAUCAUCCAUAACCUCACAGAAUGGCAGAAUAAAUUUGAGAUGCUGAAUGGCCUACUCCUGUUCUUCUGUUUCUAUGACACAAUUUUGUGUCCAUGUCAGCAGGAAAAUGGAAAUUUAAUGAGAAGCAGACCCUGUCUGACACUAGACACCAAAAAUAAGGGAUUGGAGAACGCUGUGAGGAGAUCAUCUUAGAUAGCUUUGAAUUUGAACCAGCUACAACACAGCUCCAACUACGCAAAAAGCUGUAUUUUCAGAUCCCAAGCAAUCACUGGACUGUAUAAAAACUGUUUAAACUUUCCAUAGCCCGUUUCCAUGUUUCUAAUACUUUGAAUGAAUAGAACAUGUUCUCCUCCAUGAAAAAGAAAUAUUUCAAGGAGCAAACCAGUGUACACAUGUGCUUGGCUCUAUACACUGAGAUAUUUUCUAUUUAAUCCUGCUGCACUCUGCUGAGCGAAUGGCUGACACUACAAUUCCAGUCUACAAGUUAUAAAUUACCUUCCACAGGUCUGUGGAACCUGAGACUUGGAGCUGCAGUAUAACAGUGGCCAACAACAAGCUAGUUUAAGGUUGUUGCAAAGAUUUGUAGCUUGGAUUGUGGAUGAGGUUGUUGGCUUGCUCGCCAAGUUGGCAGGUUAUCAUACAGAUGUUUUGUCAUCACGCUAGGUAACACCAUUAGUGUGGCCUCCAGUGGAGCAAUAUUGUUCUUGGUAUUUAUAUAAUCCAGUCUGUUAAGUUGGAUUGUAUCAUUUCUGGCUCUGUGCUGUAUGGGAUUGUAUAUGGGGUCUAAUUCCACAUGUUUGUUGACUGCAUUACAGGUUGAAAACCAGGCCCUCCCUUCCCGUGCAGCUCUGGUAUAUUGCAGUAAGUUGCUUGACUUAGCAAAGUUUGUUAUCUAUGAUUUGUGUUUUAAUAGCAUGUGUUGUCAAAUGCUGAAGAUAAUUUUGACUGAAAAAUAUGGAAUUUUAUAAACAGAAAUGUAGUGUUAAAACCAGAAGUACUGGUAAAAUAGCACUUUGAGGCAAUUAUAAAUGUUUGGUCAGGUGUCCACAACUUGAUUUUAACAGCUCUCUUCCUGUUUCAGAAAAUUAAAUGCUAUUCUGCUCAAGAAAUAUUUGUUCUACACAUAGUCCCUUGUGCCCCUUAUAGUGGAAUCUAUGAUCUCUGCUCACAAUAUGUUCAGUCUAGUGAUCCAUUCAUAUACUACCAAUUCUCAUUAAUAAGCAGAGUUAACUUUUGCUCACUAUUAUGGUCAAAAGAAAAGCCUUCCAGAGCGAUAGCAUUUCAGUAAAUUAACUUUGCUUCCUCUAUGGGUUUCCCAAUGUCCCUAUAUUAACGAGUAAAACAGUUACCAGAGAUACCUUGAGAAUUCUCAUGGCCAUAAAAUUGUGUUGAGUCUUCAAUUAAUAUCACAAGAGCAUCAAAUAAGUCUUUGAGGGUUCUUGUGAUGCAGUGGUAAUGUCCUUAACGCUGAACUACAAGUUUCAAGUUCAUGUUCCAUCCUGCUCCAGAAGUGUGUAAAAGCACUUAGAGUCAUAGAGAUGUACAACACGGAAACAGACCCUUCGGUCCAACACGUCCAUGCUGACCAGAUAUCCUAAAUAAAUCUAGUCCCAUUUGCCAGCAUUUGGUCCACAUCCCUUUGAACCCUUCCUAUUCAUAUACCUAUCCAGAUGCCUUUUAAAUGUAGUAACUGUACCAGCCUCCAUCACCUCCUCUGGCAGCUCAUUCCAUACACGCACCACCCUCUGUGUGAAAAAGUUGCUCCCUUUUAAUUCUUACCCGUCUCACCUUAAACCUAUGCCCUCUAGUUUUGGACUCACCUGCCCUAGGGAAAAGACCUGGGCCAAGGGUAGGCAAUGGCCUAGUGGUAUUAUCAUUGUUAAUCCAGAGACCCAGAUAAUGUUCUGGGGACCUGGGUUCGAAUCUCGCUAUGGCAGAUAGUGGAAUUUGCACUCAGUAAAUAUACCUUCCACUACGGACGAAAUCCGGAAGUGAGGCAACCCAUCGCAGCAGAGCCCAGAGUUUAAAAACCAGGCGGGAAAACAUACCGAUGCUUCAUCAGAGGCUGCACUGAGGAUGUUACCAAGCGUGGUAACGAAACUUCUGCGGAACAACAAACCAGCUCGGCGAGCCAACCAACCUCAACAGACACAACCCGAGCUACAGAUCUACUCCAAAACCUUAAAUAAAUAUCUGGAAUCAAGAGUCUAACGAUGACCAUGAAUCCAUUGUCGAUUUUCAGGAAAAACCCCUUGGUUCAUGAAUGCCCUUAGGAAAGGAAACUGCCAUCCUUACCUGGUCUGGCCUUCAUGUGACUCCAGACCCACAGCAAUGUGGUUGACUCUGAACUGCCCUCUGGGCAAUUAGGGAUUGAUAAUAAAUGCUGCCUGGCCAGCGACAUCCCUCAUUGUGUGAAUGAAUUUUAAAAAAACCCAUCCAUGCCCCUCACGAUCUUAUAAAGCUCAAUAAGGUCACCCCUCAGCCUCCAAUGCUCCAGCAAAAAUAGCCCCAGCCUAUUCAGCCUCUCCCUAUAGCUCAAACCCUUCUACCCUGGCAACAUUUCUUGUAAAUCUUUUCUGAAUCCUUUCAAGUUUCACAACAUCCUUCGUAGAACAGGGAGGCCAGAAUUGCAUACAAUAUUUUAACAGUGGCCUAACCAAUGUCCUGUACAGUUGCAACAUGACCCUCCCACCUUUUACACUCAAUGCACUGACCAAUAAAGGCAAGCAUACUAAACACCUCCAUCACUCUCCUAUCUACCUGUGACUCCACUUUCAAUCUCAACAAGUUGUUUAGUAAUAUCUAAAUAAAGUCUUUGAAAUUAGUGUUUGGUUAUUUAAACAGCCCACAUGGAAAUCUAAAUCAUAGCUGUCAGCUUCCUGAUCAAUAUUAAAUAUGACCUAACAUGGUUAUCAGUGGGUAGGCAGGGAUAUGGAGGUAGAGCAGCUAUGACCUUAUUAAAUGGUGGAGCAGCCUCGAAAGGAAUGGCCUAUUCCUACCCCUAGCUUGUACGCUCAUGUGAUUUGUGAGGCACUCAAAGUGACACAACUCUGUUGUGUAAGACUAUCUAUUUUAAUGGAAUAUGUGCACAAACAGGAUUUCUGCCAAAGUUCAGCUGACAGACGAUCAUAAACCCCAAAGAAAUCUGCAGAGAAUAUCAGUUUACGCCCUGACAUUAAAUUUUACAAUAACUAAUAUCUCUUUUGAUGAAUAUUGAAUGCUUAGAAAUAAUGUCUAACUAUAAAUGGGUGUGAAAGCCACAACUGCUGCAUUGAGGCAUGUUGUGAUGUUAUGCUGCCGAACGGGAGCUGCAUCAGGCCUAGGUUUUUUUUCCUGUGGCAGUAGGUGGCGCUGUUGCCUUCUGAAGCAGUAUUUUAAAGACUGUAAAAUUUUACCUUCAAGUGCCUUCUGUUAAUGGCUUAUAGACUUUUACUUAACUAUUCUGCAACUGUUCCAUGUGCUCAAGUACAAUCGCUGCAGGGUUGUGAUUGAAUACGCUUCCACUAAGAUUUCACCUCAUA